AUGAACAAUAUUUCUGAGUCCUUUAAUGCCACCAUAUUAAGUGUUAGGGAUAAACCAAUUUUAAUAAUGUGUGAGUGGAUUAGGAAGUAUUUAAUGAACAAAUGCUCUACUUCUGCCAUGAAGUUUAAAAAAUGGCCUCAUAAGGUUAUGUCAAUUCCUAGAAAAAGACUUGAUAAUGAGGUUAUGUUUAGUAGUCAAUGGAUGCCUACUUGGGCAAUGGAUGAAAAAUUCCAAGUCACUCAUUCCUAUAACAGUCGGGAAUUUAUAGUUGACAUUUCUAAGAGAUCAUGUACUUGUAAUUUUUUGGGAUUUAGUUGGUAUUCCUUGUAG